UUAUGAUACUUGGUUUUGUAUCUGGGAACAAUGCAAAGCAAGCGUCAAGCUGUCAAAUGGUGCUACAAAGGUGUCAGUUGAGAAAUUGAGACAGAUAAGAGUAGUUGGAGUUGAUAUUGUUUGGAACGCAAGUAAAUUUCCAGUUAAUCGACAACAUGGAUGCUGCACGCACAUAUGAACGAUAUUUGAGUGCGCGAAUACGCGUGGAACGACUAGAUUGGUUACUUUCAAGAGGUCGUGGUUCGCUUGCACGGAGGAUCAGUCGCCAUGGCCGCUUGCCCGCUGGUGGACGCUAUACUUCAUCCGUUGGCUCAUUGUCCCUUUCAUGCGUUCGUAUACCCAUCUCCAAAAAGCAGUCUGAUAGAUGCGUAUGUGAUGACGAUAAGCCUACCAGUUCUGAGAAACGAAUUAAAAAGUAUACACAAGCAUCUAAGGAGUAUAUAACCUCCUGCGCAGUAGAAAAAUUAAAAGAAAAAAAGAGAAAGCCUGAAAGAAAAGCCAAGUGCAAAAGCGUUUGCAAGCAUCCAGUUAUAGUAGUGCCAUCGAAAUGGAAAUAUGAAGCAUGCCCACCAGGCAAGAAACAGAAUUCCAAAAUGCGUUUCAAAUGCUGUUUCGUUAGGGACAAGAAGAAGACGAAACCCCCAUGUUCGAAACCAUCGUUGGAAUCCCUUAAAACUUGCCGAUCAACACAAAAAGUGGAGCCCGUAAAUUGCCCAUGCCAAGAAAAAUCGGUGGCUGCUUCAUCGAAGGAAAGUCUGAGAUCCGAGAGGCAAGGAAUGGGGCCCGUUCAGUGUGUUACAAAGUGUACCGAAUGUGAAAAAAUACCGAAUAUAACCAUAGAACUGUGCUUGCUCAAAAAGAAACUGGAGGAGCAGAUCGCACAAGAAGCAGAGCAGAAGCAACAGCUGAAUGUGAUGAACAAUCAACUGAAGCAGCUCUGUGGCACUGUUAAUACGCUUAAUGAAAAGUGCAAGGGCUUGGAGAGUGAGAAGGAAAAGUUGACCAAGUGCGUCUGCAUAAAAAAGUCGUCAGCAAAAAUUAUCUGUAAUAAAAAUGAUUCCACACUGGAGCGCAAAGUCUCGAGUCAGUGUCAGUUUUGCAAGAACAAGAAUCUACCCGUCCUUAGCAGCAUGCAGUACGCACUCUUCAAAAUGAUGGGUAAGCGUUGCUUUCAAGACAUUGCGCUGACGAUUCUACUGCGAGCGGACAAUGUCUACCAUGUGAAUGUGAGAGAUCUGGAAACUGGAUCCGUACUGGGCUGUUUGCUGGUUACCGAUGCGGGCAUCAAGGAGGCCAAUACUCUGGGUAUUUUCCAGGAGAUACUCACAUUCUGUGUUAUCGAUGUGCGCAACACGAUCAACAACAAGGAUGCCGUCUUUGGUGGCAUAAACUUCGAGCUCGUACGUGAUCACCGUCUGACUGGAGGGAAUACAUUGAGCCCAAAGUCCCAGCCGGAGACAAGUGAGGUGGAGCAGUGCGAUUCGCCAGUGGAACUCUGUGAGGAGGAGUCACCCAAGGAGCAGCAGAGUUCUGUCUUCUGCCUAACCGAUGAUAUCAAGGCUGCGUACAACAAUUCCAAAACAUUUUCAGUUUCUUCUGUACCAAAAACAAGCGAGCCACAGGUCGAGGCUAAAAGCAAAAACAAAAGUAAGCCUAAGAUGAGCAUGUCCGAGGUAAUGCGUGAAAUUAAUAGCUAUAGUAGUACCCUUGUGCUGACAGAUACGGAGACCAAAUAUCCAGUGCGACACAUUCGAAUCAUUUCCCUGAUGGAAUCCACCUCCCCCUCUGAAUAUAGCGAUGACGAUUUUCCGCGAUCUAAGCUAAACUAAUGGCUCGUUAGCUGCUCAAUCUGUCAUAGUUAUUGAAAAUUCCAAAUUUUAAUGUUGUGAAUAGAAGACAAUAGCCAUCUAACAGAAAGUUUUCUGUAAGAAUUUUUCCCACCAUUGUGAAGGAACCCAUUCCUGCAAGAUUAAAGUUACUUGCUGAUUUGUAGGAGGAGCCCUAGCACCAUCUGUUUCAGUCGCACAGACUUACCUAUAACACAAUGCAACUUGUACAGUAUUUGGAAGAAACUAAUUUGUAUUUAUUUUAAUAAAUUAUACUCGCGGACUCCAGGACCUUAUUACACAGGAUAAAACGAUAACAUAUCUUUUAGAUAUACCUAAAUAAAUUGUACUGAUUUCCUAUUGGA